rnacentral:snoRNA from 1 species
AUUCCAUGAUGAGGGCAAUCUGAUAUGUAUUCUUGAAAACGCUCCCAAGCUUCUAGAAUAGGUUCACCUUUCUGUUGACAAAAUUCUAAAAUCUUUCCUAUUAAGGCA